rnacentral:rRNA from 1 species
UACGGGGGGAGCAAGCGUUAUCCGGAUUCACUGGGUUUAAAGGGUGCGUAGGUGGGCAGGUAAGUCAGUGGUGAAAUCUCCGGGCUUAACCCGGAAACUGCCGUUGAUACUAUUUGUCUUGAAUAUAGUGGAGGUGAGCGGAAUAUGUCAUGUAGCGGUGAAAUGCUUAGAUAUGACAUAGAACAUCGAUUGCGAAGGCAGCUCGCUACACUAUUAUUGACACUGAGGCACGAAAGCGUGGGGAUCAAACAGG